AGUCACCAGACACCCAGUGAACGUUAGAGCACUGAUUCCUCAUUAAACAAUUAUUAAUCAAAUUAUGGGUAAAGAUGUCGGAGAUUACUUUAAAAAAAAAUUAAAUAAAUGUGCACUAAGCUUCUAAAUAAAUGCUAACAAAAUCAAUUCCAAAUGCAGAUGCAGAAGUGGCAGUGGAGGACGCCUCUUUGAAUUUGAGGCACAUGGAAAAUAACUAUGGUUAAUUGUAGGAGUAAUAAGAAUGACAAUAAUGUACUGGUCGAAAGCAGAUACAUAAGGCAAUGGAUUGGCUAGCCAUCAUUCGAAUUUAAUGGAUGCUGGGGAUUUGUGUAGAGAAAAAGACUUGUAUCCACAACAAGUGUUAUUAAUACAUUUUUCAUGCCUAUAUCCAUGGCUUUUGGCUUCAAUUUAUUAACGUAGUUGGAAUAGUAUUGGAGAAACACUUGUAAGUUUCAGUAGUGAUGUUGAUAUAUUUGCAGAGCACAGGCACUGUUGUCAGGGAGGCAAAAAACUUGAGUGUGGAGAGAAUGGCAGCCACCAUAAUCGGCAAUAGGAGAAGCUGCAAUUGCAGGUGGGGAGGACGAUGUUUUAAAGCGCCUUCAGUUUACAGAUAUAAAGCAUUAACUAUUUGUAUUGCUACUUCUAUACGAAAACAUUGAUUUGAUGCAUCUUUCUAAAUGUGAUUGAUGGAUGAAUUUGAAUUUUGAAGGACUAUCACUGAAAUACUAUUCUACCCGCUAAUUAGAUUACAAUUAUUACAUCCU
rnacentral:lncRNA from 1 species